rnacentral:rRNA from 1 species
UGGGGAAUAUUGCGCAAUGGGCGAAAGCCUGACGCAGCAACGCCGCGUGUGUGACGAAGGCCUGUGGGUCGUAAAGCACUGUUAGGAGGGAAGAAACAAAUGACGGUACCUCCAGAGAAAGCACCGGCUAACUCCGUGCCAGCAGCCGCGGUAAUACGGAGGGUGCAAGCGUUGUUCGGAAUCAUUGGGCGUAAAGCGUACGUAGGCGGCUUAGCAAGUCUGGUGUGAAAGCCCGGGGCUCAACCUCGGAAUGCCACUGGAAACUGCUAGGCUUGAGAGUGAGAGGGGAUAGUGGAAUUCCUGGUGUAGGAGUGAAAUCCGUAGAGAUCAGGAGGAACACCGGUGGCGAAGGCGACUGUCUGGAUCAUAUCUGACGCUGAGGUACGAAAGCGUGGGGAGCAAACAGG